rnacentral:rRNA from 1 species
GAUGAACGCUAGCGACAGGCCUAACACAUGCAAGUCGAGGGGCAGCGAGGAUGUAGCAAUACAUUUGUCGGCGACCGGCGCACGGGUGAGUAACGCGUAUGCAACCUACCCGACACAGGGGGAUAACCCGAAGAAAUUCGGACUAAUACCGCAUAAAACAGGGGUCCCGCAUGGGAAUAUUUGUUAAAGAAUUAUCGGUGUCGGAUGGGCAUGCGUUCCAUUAGCUUGUUGGUGAGGUAACGGCUCACCAAGGCGACGAUGGAUAGGGGUUCUGAGAGGAAGGUCCCCCACACUGGUACUGAGACACGGACCAGACUCCUACGGGAGGCUGCAGUGAGGAAUAUUGGUCAAUGGGCGAAAGCCUGAACCAGCCAAGUCGCGUGAAGGACAACGGUCCUAUGGAUUGUAAACUUCUUUUGUCGGGGAGUAAAGGCAGUUACGUGUAGCUGUUUGCAAGUACCCGAAGAAAAAGCAUCGGCUAACUCCGUGCCAGCAGCCGCAGUAAUAC